CAAUAGCGUAUAUUAAAGUUGUUGCGGUUAAAAAGCUCGUAGUUGGAUUUCUGCUGAGGACGACCGGUCCGCCCUCUGGGUGAGUAUCUGGCUCGGCCUUGGCAUCUUCUUGGGGAACGUAACUGCACUUGACUGUGUGGUGCGGUAUCCAUGACUUUUACUUUGAGGAAAUUAAUGUGUUUCAAGCAGGCGCACGCCUUGAAUACAUUAGCAUGGGAAUAAUAAGAUAGGACCUUUGUUGGUUUCUGGAGCUGAGGUAAUGAUUAAUAGGGAUAGUUGGGGGCAUUCGUAUUUAACUGUCCGAGGUGAAAUUCUUGGAUUUGCUAAAAGACGGACUACUGCGAAAAGCAUUUGCCAAGGAUGUUUUCAUUGAUCAAGUAACGAAAGUUAGGGGAUCGAAGAUGAUUAGAUACCA
rnacentral:rRNA from 1 species